UACGAAGGGGGCUAGCGUUGUUCGGAAUCACUGGGCGUAAAGGGCGCGUAGGCGGCCGAUCAAGUCGGGGGUGAAAGCCUGUGGCUCAACCACAGAAUUGCCUUCGAUACUGGUUGGCUUGAGACCGGAAGAGGUAAGUGGAACUGCGAGUGUAGAGGUGAAAUUCGUAGAUAUUCGCAAGAACACCAGUGGCGAAGGCGGCUUACUGGUCCGGUUCUGACGCUGAGGCGCGAAAGUGUGGGGAGCGAACAGG
rnacentral:rRNA from 1 species